GUGGUCUGUGAUGAUUUUAAUGUUCUUUACCUAAUUCCUUUUGUAGUAUGUGGACAUUUUAGUCACUACCUCUUCUGAGACCC